rnacentral:piRNA from 1 species
UCUUUUGAGGUGCAUCAAGCCAAGU